UGAGUCCUCUCUCUAGUUCCGUCGUUUUCUCUUUUUACAGUAGCCAUAUGAACUGACUGGUUUUAUGUGUCAACUUGACAUAAGCUGGUGUUAUCACAGAGAAAGGAGUCUCCCUUGAGGAAAUGCCUCCAUGAGACCCAGCUGUAAGGCAUUUUCUCAAUUUGUGAUCAAGAGGGGAGGGCCCAGCCCAUUGUGAGUGGUACCAUCCCUGGGCUGAUGGUCUUGGGUUCUAUAAGAAAGCAAGCCCAGGGGGUUGGGGAUUUAGCUCAGUGGUAGAGCGCUUGCCUAGCAAGGCCCUGGGUUCGGUCCCCAGCUCCGAAAAAAAGAAAAAAAAAAAGAAGAAAGCAAGCCCAGGGGAGCAAGCCAGUAAGUAACAUCCCUCCAUGGCCUCUGCAUCAGCUCCUGCUUCCUGACCUGCUUGAGUUCCUGACUUCCUUUGGUGAUGAACAGCAGUGUGGAAGUGUAAGCUGAAUAAACCCUUUCCUCCCCAACUUGGUUCUUGGCUUUGAUGUUUUGUGCAGGAACACAAACACUGACUAAGACACCAUGCUAACUGGGAUAAGAUAGUAUCUUACUGUGGCUUUUAUUUGCACCUUACUGACGACUAAUGCUACUAAGCAUUUGUCCCGAAAUUUGUUGUCUACUUCCUUUGUAUAAUUCGCCCAUUUUAAAUCAGGAUAUUUUUCUUGAGUUUUAAGUGUUUGUACUUGUUGCCGUAAGAUUAAAUAAGCGGCUGAACUGGUUCCCGCGCGUUCUUUGCUCACAUCCCCUGUAGCCUGGUAAGAUCAAAGCUCUAGAAACUUGUAGUUUAGUAAUUAGAUUUAUAUGUUAAAUACUCAACCCACAAUACAUCCACAGAAUAAAUUCAUUGCCAAUUAAUAAAAUAGAAACCGCCUACCUAGGACAAGAUAAAAUUGCCCCAGACCACUUGAAUUGGAAUCAUCUUCCUCUAUCAUCUCCAUCUUGAAUCCCCUCCUCCCUUGCCUUUACCCCGCCUACCCUUCCUUCUCAUCCAAUGAUAGGCUAUGCCUUAUCCUGCACCCGCCUUGCUGCUUAAUGACAUCAUCCUACGUAUGACUCCAGGUAUUAUUGGCUCAGUAGCUCACAGUUUUCUUAUUCUGUAGGUUCACUCUUUAUUCUGACUCCUGCGCAGUGGAGAAGGACCUUGAUUUCACUUAAUCUCAUCGACAAAUGAUUUUCUGUUUUUGAUUCCUGUGCUUUUGGGGUCUUGUUCAAAAAGUUCUCACCUAUACUGGUGUUUUAAAGUAUUUGCCCUUUGUUCUUCUCUAGUAGUUUCAGCUUUUUACUUAGAUUUGAUCCAUUCUGAGUUGUUUUUUUUUUUAAGUUCAGAGUGAUAAGGAUCAAGUUUUAAUCUUCUUAUAUACAUAUACAAGCUUUACAAUACCAUUAGUAAAAAGUAUUUCAGUUAAUUGUAAAUAUAUGAAGUUACAUCUGAUCAAUCUAUUGUGCUUCAUUAAUCUAUGUGCCUGUGUUUGUGCCCAGAGCAUGCUAUUUGGAGCACUGUAACUUUGAGAUAUAUAUUUUUUUUCUAAAGACUUAUUGCACCGAAUCUUAUGACAAAGGACACUGGACAUUAAGAAAGAGGUCCACCCCAGUCUUUGGAAUCCAGUGCAGUUACUCUUCUUCUUGUGUGUACUCUGCUAGCAUUAUUGAGAUAUUUUUGACAUUAGGCUGGGUAAUGUCUCCAGCUUUGUACGUUUUCCUUUGUGUCUCCAUAUAACUUUAGGAUGGAUUUUUCUAGCUUUGUAAAGAAUGUCUUUGGUAUUGUGAUGGGGAUUUCACCAAAUCUAUGUUACUUUGUAUACUGUGUACAUUUAAAAAAUAUUAAUUCUCCCAGUCCAUGAAUGUGGGAUGUCUUUUUUUCAUUUUCUUGGCAUUCCCUCCAAAUUCUUUAAUCAGAGUUUGAAGCACCAUAUAUUUGUAUUCUGUGUAAUUAUAGGUAUUAGUAUUCAUUGUGCCUUUGGGAGUUCAACUAUAGACUAUUGUAUACAUGCACACACAUACACAUAGGUGAAGCAACUCCAUUUAUCGUGGUCUUUCUUGGUUAGUGAUUUUCAUAUCCUUAAGAGAAAUACUUUGCUGAGGGUGGCAUGAAAGCCUAAGUAAUGAAAACAGAUGGCUGCUUGAGGUCCUAAGGGAGUCAUUUACCAUCCUCUCACCACUGUUUCAAAUACCAGAGGUAAAUUAGGAUAGAAGGAAGAAGGGAAGAUUUAUUUUGGCUCAUGAGCUCUGAGGUUUCAGUUCACAUUUGGAAGAUCCCAUUGCUCAUGCUUUGAAUCAGCAGCUUGUCCUGAUGGAUGUAUUGGAGCAAAACCGCUCACUCUGGUAGCUGUGAAACAAAAGGGAGAGAAGAGGAGGUCCUGGUCCCCCAUUUCCCUUCACAGAUAUUUCCCCAGUGAUCAAUGUAUUUAAAGUAUUAACAGAUAUAUUUUGGGCAUAAGUGUGAAAUUUUCAAAUUGCUAGCCUCAUUCCUUAAAGCCACCAGUUCUGUUUCUUUCCUGUUGUUUCUUGCUUAAAAGUAGAGUGCUAAAUUGAUGUUUUUUGCAAGAAUAUAAUAGACAAAUAAGAAUUAUGUUCAAUGGGUGUGUAUUAUCUUAUUUUCUCACUGCUGUGAUUAAUACCUAGCAAAAAGUGACUCACAGAAGGAAGGAUGAUUUUGGCUUGAGAUCUGAGAGGGUAGUGUCAUCUUGGCAGGGAUGGCAUGACAGAGUUCAUGGCUGUGGGCAGAUGUAGCUAGGGCUCUUCAUAUCUCUGCAGAACAGGAAGGAGUGGGUGAGGGAUGCUUAUUGUCUUCUGGCUUUCUUCUCUGCCCUUUUAUUCAGCCCAAGUUCACCAACCCUUGGCAUGGUACCACCCAUGCUCAGGGUGAGUCUUCUGCCUCAGUCAGUUCCCUCUGGAAAGGAGCUCAUAGCUACAACCAAAGGUAUCCUUUGGGGUCUUGGCCUCCCUCAUGGGUAAGAGAGGACUAUCAUCUAUCCUAGUGAUAAAAGUAUUAGAGCUGGAGGAAUAGAAGAAAGAACUGUGCUUCAGGACAGGGAUGUAUUAAAAAAAAGAUAGCUGUCUACAACCUGGAAGGAAGACUUUUCCCCAGACAAUUCCUGGGCUAGGAUGCUGACUUUGGACUUUUAACCUCGAGAAUGGAAACAGUCAGAUCAGAGGUCAGAGAGAAUCCGAAGCUAUGUCCCCAUGCCUUCUGGAGUUCCUCACCUCAGAGUUCUGGCCACUCUUGUAUAAUUCAGGCAAUGCCAGGAGUGUUUCUGCAGAGACAUCUUUAUCGAGGAUUCCAAAGACGAUGGGUGGCAAGGACGUGAAGAAGAGAUUGAAGAAUAUCAUCUGCCAAUAAUCGAUCAUGGUGGAGCCCGAGAAACCACAGAAGAACUGGUACCAGAACAGCAGGUUGACAUAGCACUGCAGGCAGGAAGCAUGGCUUCGUGAGCGAGGGCCUUGCGUGCCCUGUGGUGGACUAUGAUGGUUAAGAGCACAGGUUUGGGAAGUAGAGAGGCUGGAUUUUACAUGCCUGGGUGUAUCAAUUACUAGCUCUGUGACCUUGGGCAAGCUAUGUCAUCUCUGAACAUUUUAUUAUCAAUCAUGGCACAUGACAUACAAACAGUAUCCCAGUGGUAACAGAGAGUGGGAAGGGAUGACAGGAAGCUGAGCAGUGGACUUCCGGGUAAAGAUGGUAGAACACAGGUUGUCUCUGUGUGAGUCUGUAAGGGAGAGAGUAAAAGCAAGGAUAAAGAGACUUCAUCCUAAAGACAGAGGAAAAGCUUAGGAAAUCUAUGACAGAGGUGGAAGGAAUCACGAUGCACGGUACAAGAGACACAGGUGACACAAGAGACACAGGUGACACAGCCUGGUAGAGGGAGGAGACUCAGAUGCCGCUUCCAAAAGGUAAAACAGAUAAAAGUUUCGAGUUAUCCCCCAAGACAUUCUCACAACAUUUAGAGAGUCAAACCCAGUGGAUUCUGGUGAGACAGAAAAUUCCUCCAGCAGAUAGGUUAGCAGUAGAGAUAAAACCCAUUUUGCCACACUGCAACUAGGAGGACAGAACCCAAACGUCAUAAAGAGAGUGAUCUUACAUUAAAGACUGAGCAAAAAUAUACUUGGGGUUCUGAGUUUAGGGAAUAUCCAAAGAUCAUGGAGCUUUGAUGUAGCUGGCCUUAAGGGUUGGGUGAAAGAAGGCUCAGAUGCUGUGUGGGUGGCUAGGUCGGGGCUGGAGGUGGUGGUGGUGUUGAUGGUGGGGUAAGCAUGAAUAGAGGGAAUGUCUUACCCACUCAGAAUUACCCUUCAGGGUGAUGAUAACUGAGUCUGAAGUCAGGGGUGAGAUCAAAUUAUGAAACCACCUGUUUUGCAGCGCACCAAUCUUUAAAGUUCCAAAAAUAUGAAAGCAGGUCCUCUGUGAGACCCUGCCUUCCCCAGCUAAAACAGCCACCCCAGGAUGGUAGAACAUAUUUCCAUAUCAUGCAAACCUAACUGUGGCUAGCAGUCAUGCUGAUGUGCAAGGAAAGAGAAUGCUUCCUUCUGAAGAAAACUCUGGGGAACAUCAGAUACUUGUCUGACAGGACAGGUAAGGGGUCACAUUUUAACUGGUCCCCUCUACACAUACUUGUAGUUCCAGUUUGAAGGUCUAAAAAGAAGCUACCCUGUCACCCACUCCCUUUUAAAAUAUACAUUUAGCAUAGGAUUUUUAUUUACUGUAUUGUAUUAAUUUACAUCAACCUGAUUUUUAAACAAGAUUUAUUUAUUUAUUUUAUGUAUGUGAAUGCACUGUCGCUGUCUUCAGACACACCAGAAGAGAACAUCCGAUUCCAUUACAGAUUGUUGUGAGCCACCAUGUGGUUUUUUGGGAAUUGAACUCAGGACCUUUGGAAGAGCAGUCAGUGUUCUUAGCUUCUGAACCACCUCUUCAGUCCAUCAUCAAUCUAAUUUUUAUUUAUGCACUUUCUAAUUUAUUUGUGUUUUUGUUCCUCCCUUGUUUCCUUCCUCUCCCCUCCCCUACAUUGAGUCAUACUUUCAUUUACCUUACAGGUCUUUAAAAAGUAAUCCUUUUAAAUGUCUUUUUUAUUCCCCCCUUAUACUGAUCUAAUUUAGAACUUUUUCAUUAUUGGGAGAACUUUUAACAUUUUCUUUAGUUUUGGUUCACAGCUCUUUCUUCUCCUACUUAUAACAAUCCUUCCCACCCCUCUCCUUUCCAUCAAUUCCAUCAGGCUUCUCCCUUCUCUCUUCCUCCCAUCUCCCUCCUUCAUCACAUCCAUUACUAUUUUCAUCCUUACUCUGAAUUAUUUUUAACUCCAUAGCCCAUGCUACUCUCAUUUUCGGAUCUGUGCUCAUUGAUGGACUGUAAAUUGUAAUUCUCGACCUUGCCUGCUGAGAUGAUGUAUUCAUUUUCUCCUGGCUGAGUGGUGUGGGGACUGAGCCUUCAGGAGCUCAGUAUGAAGGAGGUUUCCUCCAUACAAGCACAAAGAGAUAUGCAUAAAUUGCUAGACAGAAAUCCAAGAAACAUGAAAAACAAGACAAAACGACUCCUCCAUAAUUACACAGUUUCUCAACAAUGGGACUCAAAGAUACCCACAUGGAUGAAACACUUGUGGAAGCUUUCAAAACCCUGAAAAGAACAUACAAGUAGGUUGCUAAAUCCAAUGUAGAUCCUAGAGAGGAAAGUCAUAACACAGGAUGAAAAUUCAUGAAGAAAAUUAAGAUUUGGAUGAAAAAAGGAAAGGGAUAUUGGAAGAGACUUUUUAAAAAAAAGGCUAGAAAGGAAGCUCAAGGAACAAAAUGAAAACCUGGUAUAAAGCAUUUCCCAAAGACUCAAGCUAGCAGCAGAAAAAAAUGUCAGGGAUGCGGGAAAGGAAAGAUGAAACCCUGCAUUCAAACAUCAAUAAAUGUAUAUGAUCGCAACAUCCUCAGACUGUGGGGUAUGACCAGGAUACAGAACUUAACAUGGGCAACAGAAGGAAGGACUGAGGCAAACUGAAGGCACAGAUAAUCUAGUCGGUGAAAAUUAUAACAGAAAAAUCUCCAAAUCUAGAGAAGGAAAUAAGCAUUUAGAACCCCCAAUAGAUAUGACUAGAGAACCAUGACAUGCUCUACAGUCAACAUGACAAAAAUACAAAGCUAAGAAACGACAUUAAAAGUGGUAGUGAGAGGCCUGGGGAGACAGUGCCAUGGUAAAGUGUGUAUCACACUAGUGGUAUGAACUGCUUCUGAGGGAACCUGAGCUUAGUUCUGAGCACCCAGAUUCACAACUGACUUCUACUUAAUUUCUAAGGAAUCAGAUGUCCUUUGUGAUCUCUGCAGGCACUGGACUCUCAUACAAAAAUCCCAUGUCAUGCACGCUAAAAGUAAAAAUUCUUAAUAAAAUCUUUAAAAAAAUAAGCUGUAAGAGAAAAAUGUUACAGACACUUGGUUUUUGACAAAGAAGCCAAAAUCAUACAUGGAAAAAAGAAAGCAUCUUCCAUAAGUGGUGCUGGUCUAAUUGGCUGUCUGAAUGUUGAAAAAUGAAAAUAGCCUCAUAUUUGUCACCUUGCAAAAAGCUCAAGUACAAGUGGAUCAAGAACCUCAACAUAAAACCAGAUACACUGAAUCUAAUAGAAGAAAAAGUUGGAAAGAGUCUUGAACUCAUGGGCACACGGGGAAAUUUCCUAAACAGACCUCUAAUGGCUCAUGUUAUAAGAUCAAGAAUUAAUAAAUGGGAACUCAGGAAACUGGAAAGCUUCUGUUAGGCAAAGGACAUAGCCAGUAGAACAAAUCAACAACCUACAGAUUGGGAAAAAAAUCUUCACUAACCUCACGUCUUAUAGAGAGCUAAUAUCCAAAAUAUAUAAAGAACUCAAGAAUCUAACCACCAAAAAACCAAACAACCCAGUCAAAAUCACCUAAAGAAAUGUUCAAAGUCCUUAGUGAUCAGGGAAAUGCAAAUCAAAAUGAGCCUGAGAUUCUACCUUAUACCAAUCAGAAUGGCUAAGAUCAAAACCUCAGGUGACAACACAUGUUGGCGAGGAUAUGGAGAAAGAGAAACACUCCUCCACUGCUGGUGGGAUUGCAAACUGGUACAACCACUCUGGAAAUCAAUCUGGAGAUUCCUCAGAAAAUUGGAAAUAGAUCUACCUGAAAACCCAGCUAUACCACUCUUGGGAAUAUACCCAAAAGAUGCCCCACCAUGCCACAGGGGCACAUGUUCCACUAUGUUCGAGUGGCCUUGUUUAUGAUAACCAGAAGCUGGAAACAACUCAGAUGUCCCAUGACAGAAGAAUGGAUACAGAAAAUGUGGUUUAUUUACACAAUGGAAUACUACUACUCAGCUAUUAAGAAUGAGGACAUCCUGAGUUUUGCAGGCAAAUGAAUGGAAUUAGAAAAUGUAAUCCUGAGUGAGGUAACUCAGACCCAAAAGGACAUGCACAGUAUGUACUCACUGAUAAGUGGAUGUUAGCCAAAUAAAGUACAGAAUUCCCAGGAUACAGAACUCAGAAAGGUUAACAAGCUGAAGGGCCCAAGAUCCCACUUGAGAGGGAGAAGAAAGCAAUCACAGGAGGGAAAGGGAGGGAUGGACUUGGGUGGAAAAUGGCAUAGGGAGGGGGAAUAGAAGAACAUGAUCAGGUAUUGGGUGUGGGAAAAAGAUUGAAGCCCCGAGAGCCAGGAGAAAGAAUGGAAACAGGCAACCUGGGGAGGUGUUGGAGGUGGCUAGGAUCCUCCAGAAUGUAUCAGCGACAUGGGAAGUGAGAGAGACUAUCUGGACUCAAAGGGAAGGAACUUAGAUGAAAUGCCUUACAGUGGGGAGAGGGAACUUGUAGAGUCUACCUCCUUCAGAAAGACAGGGUGUCAAGUGAGAGAUAGGGUUGCCAUUCUACAGUCAAAACUCUACCCCAUAAUUUUCCCUGUCUGAAAGAACAGCAGGGACAAAAGUGGAGACAAGCCUGAGGUAAAGGAGGUCCAGUGACAGGCCCAAAGUGGGUUCCAGUUCAAGGGGAGACCCCAAGGUCUGACACUGUUACUGAGGCUAUAGAGCACUCACAAGAACAGACCUAUCAUGACUGCCCUCCUAAAGACACAACAAGUAACAAAGAGUCAGAGGCAGAUAUUUGCACCCACCCAAUGGACAGAAGCUGCUGACCCCUGUGGCUCAAUUAGGGAAAGCUGGAAGAAGCAGAGGAGGAGGGUGACCCUGUAGGAGGACCAGCAGUCUCAAUUGACCUAGAGCCCUGAGAUCUCUCAGAUGCUGGAUCACUAACCAAGCAGCAUCCAUCAGCUGAGAUGAGGCCCCCAACACAUAGACAGCAGAAGAGUGCUGGGUCUGGGUUCAGUCAGAGAUUGGAGGCCCCAGGGAGUGGGGAGGUCUGGUGGGAUGGAGGGCAGGGAGGUGGUGACAUUUUCAUGGAGACGAGGUGGUAGGUGGGGGUGGGAUGGGGAGGAGGUAUGUGAUAUGGAAUAGUCAGAGGGUGGACUGGGAGGGGAAUGAAAUCUGGAGUGUAAAAUAAAGAAAUUAAAUAAAAAGAGAGAGAGAGAACAAAAACCACCGUAACACCACAAUAACACCAGAUUGCUAAUCAGAAACAGUCAAAAUCAGGAUAUCAUGCAAUGAUCUAUCUUAAUCCCUGAGACUAAAUAACUGGCAACCGAGAGUGCUGUACCUAGCACUUUUCAAUUUGACAGAAAUAAAGACAAAUGUUACACAUUCUCACUUGUGGUUGCUGUCUUCAAGUCUUCACAUGGGAAUAUAAAAGCUGGGGAAACUGAAGAAGCCAGGAAGUAAAAGGGACCAUGGGGAUACUAGAGAAGUCCCUAGUAAGAUCCAAGUGAUAUGAAUGGGGAAAUAUAGCAUGGGGCUUAUUUGGGGAUCAGGAGUGACAUCAAUAGGAGCGGAAGGGAGGAGUAAUGACACCAAGAAUGCUUGAAAAAGUCAUACAGAAACAUUAAAUAUUUGCCUAAAGUUAUGUUUACACACGUGCACAUGCACCCAUCCACACAUUCCUCCCCACCCCCACAAGUAAAUGCACAUCUUGAAGUUAUGUCACUUGAACUGAACUAAAAUUCAUAUGGACACUUAAAAGGUCUGGGAAUUUAAAAUGAUUCUUACCAGAAAAAGCAAUGCCAGUGACAAGUUAGCACUCCAAAUCAAAUGAUAUUACAGAGCCACAGUAACAAAACAGCUUGGCAUUGGACAUGUAGACCAAUGAAAUAGGUCAGGGGAUUUGAAAAUAAACUUACACAGUAAUAGCAGUCUGAUUUUUGUAGAAAAAUGUCGAGCACUAUCUUUUAAUUAAAUAAGAGUUCUGUCUCUGUCUCUUUCUCUCUCUGUGUGUGUGUGUGCACGUGAGUGCAGUGUGUGCUGUGGUCAGAAAAGGGCAGUCAGAUUCCCUUGAGUAAGGAGUCACAGGUAGUUGAAAAACCCUUUAUGCAGGUGCUGAGAACUGAACUCAAGACCUCUGGAAGACUAGCAGUGUCUUCCAUUGAGCAAUCUUCUAGGGUUCUAACUGUCUAACCAUUGGCAAGGCUGUCAAAACUGUACGCUGGAGAAAAGGCAGCCUCUUCAAUAAAUGGUGCUAAGAAAACUGUAUAUCCACAUGUGUAAGAAUGAAACUAGAGUCAUAUCUGUCAUUUUGUGUGGAGGUAAAUUCUAAGUAGGCCAAAGAUCUUUAUGUAAAAACUGAAACUUUGAAAUGUCUGAGAGAGGAAAGAAGAUGUAGGCACAGGAAAGGAUUUCAUGACUAGGACUUCAGUGGUUCAGGCAAUAAUUCCCUAAAUUGAGAAUUAGGUGAAGUUAAGCUUUGGCAGAGCAAGGCUUCUUCAAAACCACAACCCUUGUGAAAACACUGUCUCUGUAAUGCGAAAGGAAAGACUGCCAACUGUGCACCAGAAAUGGUAUUCACACUCAGGAUACCCAGAUGACUGCAGUUUUAACCACCUAUAACCAUCUACCAAUAACUGGGCUAAUUAACCGGCUAGAAUAUCCUCAAAACAAACACAAACUGCUAAUAUCUGAAAAAGUGUUCACUAUCCUUAGCUAUCAGGAAAGUGCAGAUUUAAGCUGAUGUCAGCAAGAAAGUACAUGACCCUGAUCGAUUGAUUGAUUGGAGGAUGAUGAAGGAGGAACCCUUGUUCACAGCUGGAGGGAACAGAACUUGGGCAAUUACAAUGAAAUUUCUAUGGAGGGUCCUUUCUCUAUCAAUGAAACUAGAACUGUCACGUGACUCAUCUUUGAUAAAAACCCAAAGACCCUAAGUCCAUACUCACAGAGAUACUCCUGGCUUUGUUCAUAGUUGCACCAUGCAUGAUGGCCAGGGAAUGGAAUCAUGUGAAUGGAUAUGGAAAAUAAUGUAUAUAUUUAUAGGUAUUUAAAUAUGUGUGUUCUUAGCUCGUGAAACUAGAAAGAAUCAUGGUGGUUGGGGGAUAGGGUAAUGUAAUAUGUAAAUAAGGGGGAUAAUUGAGAGAACAGAGGGGGUCAGCUGGAGGGUGGAGGAGGACAUUGGCAUAGCAUGGGUUGGAAGAAUAAAGGAUAAUAACAGUGUAUGAAGAGGUCAUGAGGAAACCUAUUACUAUGUAUACAAGCUGAAAAAACUUAAUACAAGUUAGUCCACGAGCAGGAACCCUCAGGGGAAGGUGACCUCAUGACAGUUACCAUGUGCUUCCUGAUGACCUUAUAACUCAGAAGGGUGAGUUAUAAGGCUUAAAUAGGCCAUUUUCUUUAAAACAGUGUCUCAAUACAGAGGCCUGGCUGACCUGGAAUUCACUAUGUAGACCAGGCUUGCUGCAAACUUAGAGAUUUGUCUGCCUCUGCUUCCCAAGAGCUGGGACUAAAUGUGUAUGUCAGCAUGGCAGGAUUUACUUUUGUCUUGACAGCUCUUUUUCUGUCCAAGAUCCUCUUAAUGGAAGUGUGCUGGUCAACUGUAUUGUAAAAUGGUUUGAAGUAUGGGUCUAGCCUCAGGGAACUGAGAAGUUCAAGACCUGAGGCUUAAAGAUAGCAAUGGGGGUGGGAGGGGAUGACUCACAAGAACUUACUCAGUAGACUUGUGCCAAACUAGCACCUUCAUUUACUAAUUGCUGGGUUAUUAUUAGUUUUUAAAAGACAUGCAUGGUCUUGGUAGGGCUUCGAACUCUCAAUCCUCCUAUGUGAGCCUCCCAAAGGUUGGGAUUAAGUGCCGACAUAUCUGACAAGGUCAAUGUUAUUUGGAAGAGGCUAUUAUUAUUAUCAUUAUUAAUGAUAAGACUUGAAUACUAUCACUAGUUCUAACACUAUAUUACAUGUGAGGUACACCGGACUGGUGUCUAGUACAAUUGAUGUGCCGUACCCAUUAGCAUUAGUUAUAACCAUGGGUGAGGUUAAUGCUAAUAUCAUUAAAUGUAUGUUAUUAAUAAAUAUCAAUACUAUAGCAAUGAUAUUGCUAGCUCCUGUCAAGAAAUGAGGCUCUAAGAUAUUCAGCUGCCCUUUAUCCUAGUUGAGAGCUAGAAACAAGCAUCUGAAUUUUCAAGGUUCUUUCUCUUCAUUCACUCUGGGCCUUUUCCAGUCCUUGGUCCUAUCUUUCGGUUACGUAGUAAGAUUCAUCUAGACAACCGUAGCCAACAAAGCAGACAAUAUUUGUUGCCUAGUCUUUAUGGGAAUAAGAUUUUCAUCUCAAUAUGGACAGAGCAUUUCCUCAGGGUAACGAAAUUUUCUUCUUGGCUCAGUCCACACACUGUGUCCGCUGGCUAGCAUGCUGCCUAGCACACAGCAGACAUUCAAUAGUUGUUUGAGUAGAUGAAAUAAAUCUUUGUUUUGUCCUGACAUGCAUCUUGAAAAUUUUAACAUCCAGAGUGUAUUCUUCCCCUAGAGUCUGGUUUCCAUUUUCCCUCUGGUCUUUGCAUCUCGCAGGGAGCACGCUGAAUCCCGUGACAGCAGGGUUGAGAUUGGGUGCCCAUUCUUCCCUAGAUGCUCCAUUACAGUAAUUAAUUCAUUGUUCAAAUUUCAGAGAAGGCAGGGUUUUAAUCCCCUCUGGAAUUGGUUUCGGAUGUGGAAGUCAUAGUUCCCCACCCUCUAAUUACAGCUGGGAGAUAAUACAGCAUCAGUACUGCAGUUUUGAGCUUGGCAACAUGCUAGAAAUAAAUAUCAUUUGAGCUUUGAGAGCAUGACUGGCUGGAGAGGUUUUCCUUCUGUUUCACAAAUUUAAUGCAGAGAAGAGGCUGUGCUAAUUCAAAAGGAUGAUUCCUUGGAUGCAACAGAAGAAAACCUAAACAGGAUGUUUUGAAUUCCGAGUAAACUGCCUUUCAUUCUUAGAGUGACUCGCUUUCAUAGACAGUGCUGAGACAAUAUCACCAUCCAGCUGAUUGGAUUUACCUAGUUUUUGUUGUGUGGUUCGUUUACAUGUGUGUGCAUUGGACUUCGGACAGAGAGGUUUACUUCUGAACAAGGAAGACUGUUAGAGCCUAAAACCAUAGAGUAAGAGGAAUAUGAUAUCAUUUUAUAGGCUACUAUAUUUGUCUUUCAUCACCCAGUGUUAAUUGUCCAUUCUUCCUUAAGGGAAAAGGAAUCAAAUUCUAUUCUCAUCAAAGAUCCUUGAAGUAGGUGAUGGAAACUCAGUCCCUUGUUCCUUCCCUUAGUCCAACUAUCCUUUGAUGUCUUCUUAUACUCACUGUUAAAUACAGAGUUUCAAAAUAAAAGCCUUUGUUACAGCUCUAAUGCCUCAGCUUGGUCUUUGCUUUGGGGGCCUUGCUUGGGGUACUUACUUUGGGGCCUUAUUAGGAUAGAAACCAGCUUUCAUUUAGGAUACACAGCAUAUCCCAGGCCACACACCCAUAAUAAAUGGAUCAACCAACCAUGAAUUGAAACCUCCAGAAGAAUUAGCCAAAAUCAUCCUUUCCUCCUUUAUAAGUUGAUUAUCCUAGGUAUUCUACACUGAAGGAGAACUGACCAAUCAGAGCACUCGUGAGAAAGGAACCAUUACCACCUGCAUUUUAUAGAUGGAGAAACAGAAUUUUGGAGACCUUCACUAACAUGAGAAUCUGGGUUGGAACUGAAUAUAUCUGACUCCAGGAUCCACAUUCACAAGCAUUCAUGCUGCUCCUGUGUGCCAGAUGCUUUUUGGACAGCAUUACCAAUUCUUAUGACAACAUUCCGGCAAGCAAUAGCUGCCCCCUUUCCUCUUUUAAGAUGAAAGAGGAAUCCACAGUCCAGGCAGAAAUGAACAGUGAUGCCCAAAGUUGCACAGCUAGUGAGACAGCAAAUCCAGGUGAGCCUGCCUGAUUUCCUCACACAGAAAUACUUCAUCCAGUAUUCUGAGGAGACAGAGCUCUUGCAAGGACUUUGUGAUCUGUGUUCCCACCCUGGGUACACUGGGGUUACUCACCACGUUCUUAUAGAAGUAAUACACUACCAUCCUGGCCAGGCGCGAGUAACACCAGUGGCCAUGCACAAGCAGGAGCUUCUUGAGGUGGCUGAAGCGGGCAAUGGCGAAGUCACUGGACAUGACAGCCUAAGAGGAGAGCGGAGGCAUUAGUUUUCAAUUUACAACCAUCAGUGCCCCCAAAGAAGCUCUCUUGAAGACAGUGCUUUAUUCUAGGUCUGCAGCAUUCAGGGCCUGCCUGAUCCCUUGUCAUCAGGCAGGGAUCAGUUUGGAAGCUGAAACUUUACUACAAUCUAAGAGGGGGAAGCCAGGAGGGCCAGAACUCUACUUCGCCCUUGUUUCCAUCCAUUUAACCAGCAACUAUUUAUUAAGGACCAGUGGCAGUUUCUGUUCUAGGAGUAAAAGAAAGAACUAAAUUCACCAGGUGAUUCUCAAACCUCUGAGUACUCUUGGGUGCUUCUCAAGUAGAUCAUUGGCAUAAUAUACAGAUGACACAAUUGGUUGGGAAGUUCAUUUACACGGUGCUGAGAUGGACGUUCUGUCAUUGGGGUCGUUUAUAAUAAGAUACAAAGAUCUCUUAAGAAUAGGAGGUUUAGAUGUGUUUGUUAGGAAUCUUGGAAUACUUUCGGAUUAUGUUAACUCCCCAAGCCUCAGUUUUACUAUCUGAAAAAAUGAUUGACAAUCUAUAAUAUACAAUUAUUAUUGAAAUUCCAUGUGGUAACAUAUAAAGUAUAUAACACUGCUGGCAUAUGGUCAACACCCAACGGGUGACAGAGAACUAAGGCAGCCAUUCUCAUUCUCAGCAACAACUUAAAGCAAUAUCUUCUCUAGUGGUGAGACUAUGAACACUGAUGCUUCAAAAAUCAAGGUCUGAUUUAACAGGGUCUGAUCUCACUUUAGUAUGCUUGUUCCAAAUUGAAUUUUUAGAGAAUUAGGUACACUAUGAAAAUGUACCAAUUAAUUUAUGAGGCAGUAAAAUAUGUUCAAAUUUCCCUAUGUCCGUCACUCCUUAUAGAAGUCACAAGAAGGAUAUGUGGAGUCAGAGAAAGGUUUAAAUAUGCUGUGUAUCCUUAGACUAUAGCUACCAUUGCUGUUUGUAGAAAGCCACAUAACCUCAAUGUCCCUCUGUUUUUAAAGGACUGAGUGGCAGGAUUUUGAUGAAAGAGGACACAGAUGCUUGGGAAGGCCUCAGCAGUCAGUUGAUAAUUCUGUGAAGCUCAAAGGUUUCUUCAGCACUGUGGGAUAUUCCUCAAAUCUACAGCAAGGGGAAAGGAGAACAGACAAGAAGAAAGACGAGAUAAAGGGCACAGUACCUGCAUGCCUUCCUGCCCAGAUAUUCCAAUGCCAAUGUCAGCAGCUUGAAUCAUGCUUACGUCAUUGGCUCCGUCCCCUGAAAGAAAAGAGGCCAUCGAGCGUCUUUAUACUCAGUCUAACCACUCAGUGAUGAGAAUGCUCAGAGUGGCCCAUUUGUACAGUUGAAUCCUUUCAACAUUUCCCUAAAUAGGAUACCACUUUUACCAUA